UGAUUACCCUUAAUUUAACUUCCUUUUUAAUGCGGUUAUUUAUAUCGUGUGAUAUAAAUUAGCCGAAAUGUCUUUCUGUAACUCCCGUUAACUCAUUUAAACUUAACACAGAAUGUAUAUUUUAUGAUUUAAAAAUAAGUAUUCCAGUUUAAUAAGAAAAUUAAUUAAAUCCAGUCUUAUGUUUUCACUAAAUCACCAGUAACGCUCUGUUGCUCUUCACUUCACUUCAACCUUUGAUAGGAGAGUGCUGCAGCUCGUCGCUUUUCACUCCGGAAGAAACAGUGGGUCCGAUCGUACAGCGAACGAAGAGGUAGUCUUAUCGAAGACGACCAAUCCAAGAAGACAGGAGAGAGGUCACAGCGUGACCAAAGCUGGCCUUAUAAGAGACGACCCCCAUGAGAAAGGGAGACAGAAAGCCUUCCGGGAGGAUUUGGGGGAAGCUGGCCCCUAUUCAGGCAUCAUUGGCAAGGAGGAAAACCCAGAAAAAACUCCCGCUGCCAGCUUGUCUGAGUGAGGCGUGAACCCCUGAUCGAACUCCGGUGUUUAGGGUCUGGUCACCACCAUUAAGCGGAGACGGAGUCCACUCCGUUACACUUACCAUGCUCCAAAAUUACUUUAUUUAAUAAAGAUGAAGCUUCCGAGACCUGGAAAAUGGACGGUGUCAUUCCUCCAUCGUUGUACUUCAAUGAUGUGGCAUCAUCACUUUGAUUAAAAUAACAUUUUGAAUUGAAUUUUAUAUUUUUAAUAAGAAAAU